rnacentral:rRNA from 1 species
GCCUGCCAGUGACUAAUGUUCAACCUAACCGUGCGAAGGUAGCGUAAUCACUUGUUCUUUAAAUGGGGACUAGUAUGAAUGGCAUCACGAGGGUUAUACUGUCUCCUUUUUCCAAUCAGUGAAUCUAAUCUCCCCGUGAAGAAACAGGGAUACAACUAUAAGACGAGAAGACCCUAUGGAGCUUUAAAUACCUCUUCAAACGUUGGAUGAAGACGACUUUUAGGUUGGGGUGACCACGGAGAACAAUACAACCUCCAUGCUGAAUCAGACUUUCUAAGCCUGAGUUAAGAGCCACUGCUCGACACACUAAAAAAUUAACAUCUAUUGACCCAAUAACCACUUGAUCAACGAACCAAGUUACCCUAGGGAUAACAGCGCAAUCCAUUUCAAGAGUCCAUAUCGACAAAUGGGUUUACGACCUCGAUGUUGGAUCAGGGUAUCCCAGUGGUGCAGCCGCUACUAAUGGUUCGUUUGUUCAACGAUUAAAACCC